GAUGAAAGCUGGCGGCGUGUCUAAGGCAUGCAAGUCGAACGAUAUAGUGGCAAACGGGAGAGUAAGACAGUGGAAAAGUUACCCCAAACUUUAGGGACAACCAUUAGAAAUAGAUGGCUAAUACCAAAUGGUCUCUGACUGGCAUAUGUCAGACAGAGUAAAGAUUUAUCGGUUUGGGAGACUCCUUUGUUCUAUCAGCUUGUUGGUGAGGUAACGGCUCACCAAGGCGACGACGGAUAGCGGGUGCGAGAGCACGACCCGUCUCACUGGGACUGAGACACUGCCCAGACGCCUACGGGCGGCUGCAGUCGAGAAUCUUCCCCAAUGCACGCAAGUGUGAGGGAGCGACGCCGCGUGCCAGAAGAAGCUCUUCGGAGUGUAAAUGGCUUUUGUAAAGGAAAAUUAGCGAUGGUACUUUACGAAUAAGGGGCUGCUAACUUCGUG
rnacentral:rRNA from 1 species